GACGAACGCUGGCGGCGUGCCUAAUACAUGCAAGUAGAACGCUGAAGGAGGAGCUUGCUUCUCUGGAUGAGUUGCGAACGGGUGAGUAACGCGUAGGUAACCUGCCUGGUAGCGGGGGAUAACUAUUUGAAACGAUAGCUAAUACCGCAUAAGAGUAGAUGUUGCAUGACAUUUGCUUAAAAGGUGCAAUUGCAUCACUACCAGAUGGACCUGCGUUGUAUUAGCUAGUUGGUGGGGUAACGGCUCACCAAGGCGACGAUACAUAGCCGACCUGAGAGGGGGAGAGGCCACACUGGGACUGAGACACGGCCCAGACUCCUACGGGAGGCAGCAGUAGGGAAUCUUCGGCAAUGGACGGAAGUCGGACCGAGCAACGCCGCGUGAGUGAAGAAGGUUUUCGGAUCGUAAAGCUCUGUUGUAAGAGAAGAACGAGUGUGAGAGUGGAAAGUUCACACUGUGACGGUAUCUGACCAGAAAGGGACGGCUAACUACGUG
rnacentral:rRNA from 1 species